GAACUGGUCCAAAAAAAACAAGUCAAAAAUGAUGAAAUAUGGCUCAUAUUGUCACUCAGCAUCUCUAGUUUCAGUGGUAAAGAGAGUUUUGUGGCUGGUUUUGGUAUUGACCCUUUUUGCACCAUUUUUGCUGGACCA